GUGAAACCAGUGAGCUAUGAUCCCCAGAGAAUCAAUGAGAGCGAGCAGGUAGGUUUCUCGAAUGCGGAGGCUAGAUUGCUUGAAACUAGCGAACGAGGAGGCCGAGAGAAUCGAUCGGAACGCAGCAGCAUGCUUCCUGAAUGCGGAGACGAGGGAUCGGAGGACAAAGAAUCAGAGGGCGACGAGGGGAACGCGCAGCAGGGGCUCGCACUCGUCACCUUGAUCCCGUUCUUGGCUGUUGAGUUACUCCGAGUACUUCUUCGUAACGGAGCCGCUGUGGCCCCUAAGAUCAGAUCAGAUUGCGUCUCUCGACCGUCGGGUCGACUGGCUGAAGUUUCACGAACGGAGCUGCCGCGUUCCCCAAGCUCUUUCUCAUCUCUUUCUGUUGGGGUGUCUUACGGUUUCUUCUUGACUUUCCAUUAGGCUUCUUCAUGUUUUUGGGAUUUCGUUGAAGUCUCUUCUUGAAUCGUCUACGGUUUUACGGUUUCUUUAGGUCUCUUUUGGGGUUUCUUUAGGUUUCGCUUCCUCUCCUCCCGCCUUCUGUAUUCAUCGCUUCCCUUUUAUAGUGUUCCUUUCGAACGAAGCUUUUUGUUCUUGGGAUUUCUUUAGGUUCCCUCUCGAAUCUUUGGUCUUUGUUAGGCUUCUUCUUGUUCUUGGGGCUUUUACCUCUUAUCUCUCGCUCUCCACUCCUCUCUUUAUCCCUCCCGUCCCUACUGCUCCUCCAUGGGAAUUUGUCGGGGGCCCACCCUUUCUGUAGAGACAUCACUCUACGUUGUGAAUAUAGCAUUAGCUGUAGUUUUUGCGUUA